GACGAACGCUGGCGGCGUGCCUAAUACAUGCAAGUAGAACGCUGAAGCGAGGAGCUUGCUCUUCUUGGAUGAGUUGCGAACGGGUGAGUAACGCGUAGGUAACCUGCCUUGUAGCGGGGGAUAACUAUUGGAAACGAUAGCUAAUAUCGCAUAAUAAUGGAUGACACAUGUCAUUUAUUUGAAAGGGGCACUUGCUCCACCACAUAAUGGACCUGCGUUGUCUUAGCUAGUAGGUGAGGUAAUGGCCUACCUAGGGGACGAUACAUAGCCGGCCUGAGAGGGGGGUCGGCCACACUGGGACUGAGACACGGCCCAGGCUCCUACGGGAGGCAGCAGUAGGGAAUCUUCGGCAAUGGGGGCAACCCUGACCGGGCAACGCCGCGUGGGGGGAGAAGGUUUUCGGAUCGUAAAGCUCUGUUUUAAGUCAAGAACGGGUGUGAGAGUGGAAAGUUCACACUGUGACGGUAGCUUACCAGAAAGGGACGGCUAACUACGUG
rnacentral:rRNA from 1 species